rnacentral:lncRNA from 10 species
AGUAGCCCUAACCCCAUUGUGUCACUCUCUCUUGAGCCUGCCCACAUGCCUUUUUCUUGUGUACUUUUUGCUUUGCAAUAAGUCUCCUUACUUUCACUAUCUUCUGACUCAUCCUUGAAUUCCUUACUUCUCGUGAUGAUGUCAAGAGCCUGGCAUUUGGGGACCUCUCACAGCCCACUGGUAUCACCUUUUUUUUUUUUUUUUGAGACAGAGUGUUGCUCUGUCGCCCAGGCUGGAGUGCAGUGGGACGGUCUCAGCUCACUGCAACCUCCACCUCCCAGAUUCAAGUGAUUCUCUUGCCUCAGCCUCCAGAGUAGCUGGGAUUACAGGUGCCUGCCACCAUGACCAUCUAAUUUCUUGUAUUUUUAGUAAACACGGGGUUUCAACAGGUUGCCCAGGCUGGUCUCAAGCUCCUGACCUCAGGUGAUCCGCCUGCCUCAGCCUCCCAGAGUGCUGGGAUUAUGGGGGUGGGCCACCAUGCCCGGCCAACAAUGAUGUUUCUUUUCCUCGCCGUCUUAGACAUUGCUUUAGGAAACACUCUCUAUUCGAAUUAUUUAUUAGACCUCGCCUGCUCCCAUAGGAAACUUCCCAACUAGACGGCUGUCCCUUUAAAACUGUUUUCCUGCAAUGUUACCCACCUGGCCUGGCCUCAGUACUAUAAUAAUACCCAUGCCAUCUCUCCUACAGGCAAUGGUAUCUACUUUGUACCACUUAUUCAAUGCCAUUUAUAGGGCAAGUUUUUUUUUGUUGUUGUUGUUUUUUUUUUAACAAAGUAUCGCUCUUGUUGCCCAGGCUGGAGUGCAAUGCGUGAUCUCGGCUCACUGCAACCUCUGCCUCCCAGGUUCAAGCGAUUCUCCUGCCUCAGCCUCCCAAGUAGCUGGGAUUACAGGCACCUGCCACCAUGCCUGGCUAAUUUUUUUGUAUUUUCAGUAGAGAUGGGGGUUUCACCAUGCUGGCCAGGCUGGUCUUGAACUCUUGAUCUCAGGUGAUCCGCCCGCCUCGGCCUCCCAAAGUGCUGGGAUUACAGGCGUGAGCCACCGCGCCUGGCCAGGGCAGGAUCUUUUAACACUACCUGUCAAGUAAAUGCCACACAUUUUUGCCCUGAUGGUACCAUCAAAUACAUUUCUUCUUGUCUCCCUGGAGGGUCUUAGUCCCUCUGUAGACAAUUAUGCCCUUCUCUACUCCCAUAGCUGCCUCUCAUAAUAAUGGUAUUAUUUUAAAUUACCACUUUCCAGUCAAAUUCUUUUUUUCUCUUUUUUUUUUGAGAUGGAGUAUCACUCUGUUGCCCAGGCUGGAGUGCAGUGGAGAGAUCUUGGCUCACUGCAACCUCCACCUCCUGGGUUUAAAUAAUUCUCCUGCCUCAGCCUCCUGAGUAGCUGGGAUUACAGGCACCCGCCACCACACCCAGCUAAUUUUUGUAUAUUUAGUAGAAAUGAGGUUUCGCCAUGUUGGCCAGGCUGGUCUCAAACUCCUGACCUCAAGUGAUCUGCCCACCUCAGCCUCCCAAAGUGUUGGGAUUAUAGGCGUGAGCCACUGUCCCUGGCCUCCCCCCAAAUUCUUAUCCCAUUCAUGCUUAAACCAAAGCGUCACUUAGAUAACAGAGAUGCUCAACCUUCUUAACUCCCCUCCCACAUGGGUUUGUGCUCCCAAUGGAUACCUUUGGCUAUAUGGACGCUGUAGUAGUCCGUUGUCACACUGCUAUAAAGACAUAGCUGAGACUGGGUAAUUUAUAAAGAAAAGAGUUUUAAUUGACUCACAAUUCUGCAUGGCUGGGAAGGCCUCAGGAAACUUACAAUCAUGGAGGAAGGGAAAGCAGGCACGUCUCACGUGGUGGCAAGAGAGACAGAGGGGCAAGCGCAGGAACAACUGCCUCAUAAAACCAUCAGAUCUCAUGAGAACUCACUCACUACCACGAGAACAGUGUGGGGAAAACCACCACCAUGAUCCAAUCACCUCCCGCCUGGAUCCUACCUCGACGUGUGCGGAUUACGGGCAUUACAAUUUGAGAUGAGAUUUGGGUGGGGACACAGAGCCAAACCAUAUCAGAUACCCAUUCAGUCAGCCUCCAAAUAACUUUUCUUUCAUUUGAAAUCAUAAAACCCAUGGUUAACAGUGUAUUGAUAACAUUUGUUUCAGGGGUCAAUGUAUAACAGGACAGGCAAAGCCCUCUAAUAUACAGUUACAUGACAUCACUCACCCAAGUGCUAAGCAGGCAGUUGGCCUUAUCUUGGCUGAAGUUGGGGCUGCCAUCAACUUGUUGGCCCCAUGGGGAGGAUUUGCCCAUCAUGAGGCAACUCUUCAAAACUUUACUUCUUCACUUAGCCAGGCACGGUGGUUCACACCUGUAUUCCCAGCACUUUGGGAGGCCAAGGCAGGUGGAUCAUGAAAUCAGGAGAUCGAGACCGUCCUGACUAACAUGGUGAAACCCCGUCUCUACUAAAAAUAUAAAAAAUUAGCCAGGUGUGGUGGUGGGCGUCUGUAGUCCCAGCUACUCGGGAGGCUGAGGCAGGAGAACAGUGUGAACCCGGGAGGCGGAGCUUGCAGUGAGCCGAGGUCACACCACUGCACUCCAGCCUGGGCGACAGAGCGAGACUCUGUUUCAAAAAAAAAAAAAAACAAAAAAAAAAAAACUGUACUUCUUUACUCUGUACACUGCUGUCUCAUAGACUACAGGACAGUUUAGAUAAAUUGAGACUGUCCCUUGAUUCUGUAACAGAUGUAGUAAUGGGUAACAGAUUAGCAUUAGUCUAUCCAUGGUCUAAUGGAACAUUAGUAAUUAGUAUGGUCAGUGGAACAACUGUAAUUAAUAAAACCUGCUGUACCUAUAUAAACACCUCAGAUCAAAUGGAGAAAAAUAUCAACAAGAUAUACAAACAACUACCUGGCUACCUUCAUCAUACUCAGACUGGUACAGAACAGCUGGGGUCCCGGCUAAACCCUAUCCUUAAGCCUGGAACCGCCGCCCUAAGUGAAAACAGCUGACCCCAUUUUUCCAUCCAAAUGUUGCCUUUUUGGCCUGCCACACCUCUAUCCUGUGCCCACAAAAAGACUGCCGCUGGCAGAGCAACACAAGCGGCUGAUGGCUGAGCAUCAAAGACUACGGAUAGACACGGCUAACUUCAGAUGGCGCAGCUUCAGGGAAAGAUCACCUUCUUCCCACACCCUCCCCUGGCCUCCAUUCCACUGAGAGCCACUUCCAUCACCCAAUAAAAUCCUCCCCAUACACUACCCUACAAUCUGUUCGUGUGACCUAAUUCUUCCUGGACACCAGUCAAGAACCCGG